CCGCAAGGAUUCAGUGGCGAACGGGUGCGUAACACGUGAAGAAUUUGUCCAACGGCGGGGGAUAGCCGGCCCAACGGCCGGGUAAUACCGCGUACGACCUUUGAGGGGCAUCCCUCGAUGGUGAAAGCCGCAAGGCGCCGAUGGAGAACUUCGCGGCCUAUCAGCUAGUUGGUGAGGUCAUGGCUCACCAAGGCGACGACGGGUAGCUGGUCCGAGGGGAUGACCAGCCACAUUGGGACUGAGACACGGCCCAGACUCCUACGGGAGGCAGCAGUGGGGAAUAUUGCGCAAUGGGCGAAAGCCUGACGCAGCGACGCUGCGUGUGGGAUGACGGCCUUCGGGUUGUAAACCACUGUCGCGAGGGACGAAGCUCUGACGGUACCUCGAAAGGAAGCACCGGCUAACUCUGUGCCAGCAGCCGCGGUAAUACAGAGGGUGCGAGCGUUGUCCGGAAUCACUGGGCGUAAAGGGCGCGUAGGUGGCCUGAUAAGUAGGGGGUGAAAUCUCGAGGCUCAACUUCGAGGCUGCCUCCUAAACUGUCGGGCUUGAGCAGAGUAGAGGCAGGUGGAAUUCCCGGUGUAGCGGUGGAAUGCGUAGAGAUCGGGAAGAACAUCGGUGGCGAAGGCGGCCUGCUGGGCUCUUGCUGACACUGA
rnacentral:rRNA from 1 species